rnacentral:lncRNA from 1 species
UUCUCUCUCGAUCAGCCUAUCUCCGGUGACGGCCGCUCUCCGACAAUCGCGCCCCACACAACUCAUUUCAUACCUUCUUUAUUAUUAUUACACAAAUAGAGAAAUCUUUGCUCAAACGCCGUUAGGAUCAAUGGCGAGGGCGACGUAGACGGCAGUCGGACUGACGACCAGAAGCGCCGACAAUGGCGGCGGUGUUACGUGGCUCCGACAAGUAAUCCGGUCAACAAUCCAGCAGAUGAUGUUCGGGUUAUGAAAGAUGUUACUCUGAUGUUCUGUUUGGCGGUUCAGCAGAUGAUGGCUCGGUUCAGGCGACUGUGAUUCGGGUUACGUUUCGCUCAAGAUCUGCACUUUAAGAAUUUGUUAAAGGAAUAUGUAAUUUUAUUUUCUUUAUGUACGUAGAUUUUAUAUAUUUUUUGUGUGUAAAUUUGUAUAAAUUUAUGAUAUCU